UGCUUCUCUAUGCUGAGGUCAGCCGGUUCUGAUGUGCCGAAAAGGAGAGCAAGGGCACGGCAGUGCCUCCUUCCUAUCUUCGUGCAGGUAACCUCACUCGUCUCUCUUAAAUUUUACAAUGGGCAAAUCGUUCCUGCAGCAUGGAGCUCUAGAGUACUUAGUCUAGAUUCAACUGAGUUGCAAGUGUACCUCUGUCCAGUUAUUGAUACAUUUUCUGGUAAGUUUUAGACUUGCUAUCCUGUGUUAAUUUAAGGGCUGGCUAAAUUUUGUUUCCUUCAUGUUGCUCAUGUAGGGAGGGGUGGCGAUCUGUCUAUGAAGUUUUAGAGGUAAAUCAGGAAUAAUUUUUUUUGUGAUUCAUAGGCCAUAGUUCAGUGUCCGUGCAGUAAAUGUUGUGAGAAAUGCAACAUUUCUCUUACCAUGUUUUGGGUAAAUAUUUCAUUGGAAAGGAUUGUGCUACUAUGUACCAUAACUAUUGGAUGCAACUUUUUGCCGCAAAUAUCUUCUCGAUUUAAUUUGCACCAUUACUCUAAAUGCUUCUUCAAGUCAUGUACAGUAUCUUUGAAAUUUGUGUGUGAACUCCCAUUCCCAUUUCUCAGAGGUGUUGUAAUGAUCUGAAUGAAAGCCUUUUUAUUUGCAAGUGACAGACUACACCUUGAUACAUAUAGUUAGAAUGCACUAACCUAUUCUGCUGAUAUUGUAGCAUGUUCAUUUGGAUCAGUGAGAUGCACAUUUUCUCCUUCCUUCUCUAAUAUGUAAUUUUGAGUGUGUUACUUUGCCUCUUCUAUUGGUAAUACAAAGGUAUUAAAACUUAAUUGAUUUGAAUUUUACAAGAUGGCAUUUCUUCUUUGAGUGCAGGGAUUCAAAGGUGACCACUACUUAGUUUUCAUGGCCAUUAAAGUCGAGUGUUGAGUGGAUACUAUGGUGAGCUUAAUCAAAUAGCUUUGCGAGGAAUAGAAAGAGCCAGUGAUUGGGCAACGCUGCAUGCGUGGCUGCUUAUUCCUUCCUAGGGGUUGCCUUGUUAAGGAAACUUUUUGCUCGCAUGCCUCUCUCUCCUAGAGGCAUCCCUCCUUCUAGAUCUCAUUGUAGCUUUCAUGUGAAAGUGGCUUGAUCAUGCGCAUAAGCAGAACACAUUCAGUUUCAUUGGUGCGUGUGGAUGACCAGUGAACUUGGAAGGAUUUCUAUUCCCAUGUGAUCUACUUGGUCUAUGCCUGAGCAUCAUUCCUAAAUAUAGCUCAUCAUGCCAUUCUUUUUGAUCCAUGACCACAUCAAUGUGGAUGUUCCUAUUAAAACAAAGGUACAUAAUUGAUAUUUUCCUGGAUUAUUAAUUCCUGGAUUUUGUUGCUCAGGUUUGUCUCCCACGAUUUCGUUUACUGUGAGAUGCUAUCGACACACACGGGCACACAUGCCUAAGAUGGUCUAAGGUUCAGUUUCUGGUCACUUCAAUGAGUUUUUUCCUCAACGAAUCUCUUUGAAUUCAUAUUGUGUACCUUUUUAUAUGGUUGUUGGUUGUAUGCCUUUAAUCUCUUUGUCGAAGGCUGUUGGCAUUAAGGUUUAGUGCUUCAUUGUUCAUCAUAGUCUCAUUCCCUCGAUAAAUAAUAAUGAGGCAAUGAAAAAUAGGUGAAACUGUACGAAAUAUGAAGAAGCGGGGGAACACGAUUCAGUUUGUCAUUGGAAAUUAGUUUCCAUGGCUAAAUUACUCAACUCUACACCAUGUUUUUUCUCGCUCAUCUUGUUUAUUUCUAUAGUAUAUUUUUCUUCAUCGGUUCCAUUAUUUCUUCAAGAACCUGCAGAUCAACUCUGUUUAGAUAUGAUUUACUCCUGAAAAGAAUGAAUUGCGUUUGUGCUUUCAGCUUAGGCAAAUCUAUACCUUGAUUUCAAAUUCUACAUUCUCCUCUUUGGAUGUCGUUUCUUUUGCUAGAUGUAAUUGCAUGCUUUUGUUCCAUGACUCUUGAGUCUGCCGCUUCGUCUGCUCUGGGAUCACACCAAUAAUGUCAUCUGCUUCUUGAUACUACUGCUGUACUGAUUAGUAUCUGGCGAGGCCUUCAAGUUCUGAUGCAACUUAGAACAUCCCUCUUGAAGAAAAAGUCACGUUGACAAUAUAAAAUUGUAACUUUGAAUUUAGGAAUCACUUACCCUCACUUGCGUGUUGAUGAAUUGGCAAGAUGGCUAGCUACCUAGCAUAUAUUACUUUCCUUUUCUUGCAAGCUCAAAGAAACAAUAAUACAAAUUACUAAUACACCCAACUGGAAGUUCUGAACAACAUUACUCUUGCAUUAUCUGGACUCUGAAAUAUGCAAUAAAAUCCAGUUACAAUGUUUAUCAUUAAAAUAUCAACCACAAUAUUGCCUUAUUAGCUGUGUGGGUAUUAGUUCUGAUAAUACUUUUUUAAAUGAAGUUUGAAUGAUCAAAAUAUUACAUUCACAAUGGGCAACCAGUGAACUACUAAACUUUGUUAUAUAAAAAUCCUACUGAAUCCUUCACUCAUUUUUAAGUAUUACAGGACAGGAUGGUGAGUAAAUGACCAUGGACCAUGGUGGGGAGGCGUGGUGUUGAGCCACUGAUGGAGGCACUACACUGUCAGGAUGUGUCUUUCGUGAUGCCAAUGAGGCAUGGCAGCAUUUGUUCUACCGGAAGGUGCUACAAUUAGGCGGUCUCUUAGUCCUUCAUCUCUAUUUUGUGUUGCUGCUUCUACUUUUGUUGUCUAAUGCAUAUAGUUGGAGGAUUUCGAUCAAAUGUCCCUAUUAGUGAAUACUGUGUUCUUAUGUAUUUCCAAGAAACUUUUUUGUUUUGACAACAAUUGGUGAGUUAGAACUAAAAGGGACCAUAUCAGAUAAUCAUUUGUAACUCUGUUAUGCAAGCCAAUUUAAAAAGUUUGUCGUAUUAUUGAUUGAUGGGUUAUAUAAUCCUCACAUUAUGGUACAGUGUGAGUGAUUUUGCAUGUGUUA
rnacentral:lncRNA from 1 species